GGAGGGAGAAGAAUGUUGGAUGGGAUGGCUCCCUGGUGCCACUCACAAGAGACACUUGAUACCUAAGGUUUUCCCUGGCCUCGUCCACUUGGCCAUACCAGAAGGCUUUCGUUCCUCCCUAAGGCACUGUGAUCUUCGGGGUGAACUUUGCCUCCUGAAUCAAAAGUCCCCUGUGUUACUGAGACCUCCACGUGUUGACAGGCCUGGUUGGGCGGUGACAUAUGCUCCUGCCUUAUGGAAGACUGCAUCAGCAUGA
rnacentral:lncRNA from 1 species